CAGACAUGUUUUGUGUAGCCUUAGAGGCAAGAAUGAAGUUCAGAAAAUGGGAAUGAAGAAGAACAAACUUGGGCUCAGCCCAAGGAAGAAGCAGUGUCCCCAGUGGAGCUGGCUGACAGUGGAGGGUUCAUGAGGUCUUCGUGUGUGGGCCACCCCAGAUGACGCUGCCUUGGUGGUCUGGUGUCAGGGAUGCUCGUGGGUGUUUGGGGCGUUCUCCAGUGCAUAGGGAGCUGAGCUCAAUGAUUAUAAGACUCCUAAGCUCAGAUGACCAGACCUCUUUUCACCUAAAAUGUUAAAGGAUGUGUCACACGGUGCUGCAGGCUGAAUGUUUAUGUCCCCUCAAAAUUCAUAUGUUGAAACCUAGCCCCCAGCAGGAUGGUAUUAGGAGGUGGGGCCUUUGGGAAGGGAUUAGGUCAGGAAGGCAGAGCCUUUGCAAUGUAAGAUCAGUGCCCUUACAAAGAGUCCUGAGAAAGCUCCCUUGUCUCUUUUACCAGGUGAAGCGACUGUGAAACUAUAACCAGCUGUGAACCAGGAAGCAGGGCCCCGCCAGGCACUGAAUGCUGAUCUUGGACUUUCCAAUCUCCAGACUGUAAGAAACACGUUUCUGUUGUUUAUUAUCUGAUUUUUGACAUUUUUGUUAUAUCAAAACUGAGCUGAGUUGACUAGAUAUGCAGAAAGUCCACCUACUUAAGGAAAGCAUGGAUUCAAAGCUAAUCUGGCCUUUGGUGUAGAAAAAGGCAAAGCUGCUUACUUCAGGCUUGGGAUCACCAGUUCUAUGUGGAACUUCUCAGCCACGUGUACCACCCAGAUACACUCCACGUCGGUGGGGUAGUUUGUUGGAUACCAAGGACUGGAGAAGGAGCCCGAGAGACCAGAAAUGACUCCUCCACAAGAGUUACUUCCUCCUGUGGGCAGACAAGAGAUAACUGGUUGGCUUCUUCCGGCAUGCACCUGGCAUUUCCCAGGAGUAGAAUCCAGGAUUCCAUCAAACUCAACAAAUCCCAAGACUCCUGGUCUUUCCUGCAAUGGAUGGCAGGAGGUGGGGAUGUACCCAGGCAUCUCAUCACUCUGCUGUUGGUUGGUUGUAGUUAGAACAACCGGGCUGGGUCAGACAGACAUGAAACCCCCUGGGACUGGAUUUCCUGAAACCUCUAUAGGUAAGUUGGUGCCUGUCAUGGGUGCCCCCUACAGGACUGUACCCAGAAAGCAGGCUGGGUACCCCUGGAUGGGCGAACCACAUUUCCUUCUAGUUUCUUGUCACCCUCCCACCUACCUACUCUGACCUGAGCAGAUCCACUCCCUUUACAGCCUGCCCCUUUGGUUAAAAAGUCAGUAUUUCAGGCCUUAGCAGUAUUAAUGAAUGCCCUUUGGCAAGGCCAUGGUGAGGACUGAGAGGCUCCAUUGACUGAGGUCCUGACUCCCCCGGUGUUCUCAUGGCGGGGGCCAUGACAAGACUGGCGUGGGUAGUGGACAAGCAGCCCCUCACCCAUGCUGUUCCAGCCUGUCUGUGCCACAUCCUAGGCACACUGCUUAGCAUCUGCUGUGAUGGCUCUCUUGGCAUGGGGUUACCAUUUCAAUUUAAAACAAGUGACUACCUGUUAUAUGAUCCUGAGAAGCUGUGGAAAGACCUAGAAGGGAAAAAAAAGGGAGAGGAUGAUGACUUUCAGGGGGAAAAUACUGAGUUUCAUCUAUAAGCUACUGAAAUGUAAAGGGUUUUCUCUGAAAUGUCAAUGUACUUAGUGCAGACUGAGAAAGGGCUGACGGUGCUGAGUGAAUAUUUCUACCAUCCUGUGGCAGAUUAAAGAAGGCCAUGCAUUCUUGGACCUGCCUCCUGUCACAAAGUGGGAUCUAGGUCUCCUCACCUGACCCUGGUGGCCUCUGUUUUGCCCAACAGAAUAUGGCAGAGGUGACACUGUGCAUUAAGAGACUGGAAGCUUCCAUUUAUCUCUGGGAACAGUGGCUUGCUCAUGGCACCCUGAGCCACCUUAUAAGAAGUCUGACUACGCUGCUGCAGAGACUGUGUGAAGAGGCCCCAAGACUGCCUGGGGAGGCAGGGGGCCCUGGCUGAGCCCACCUUUCCAGCUGUCUCCACCAAGCACCAAGCAUGUGAGUGCAGCUGCCCUUGACUCUCCAGACCAGUCUUUAGGUGAACAGCACCGAAUAACCCUGCUCAGUGCUAUGUGGAGCAGAAGAGUCUCCCAUCUGCCCAGUGCCCGAAUUCCUGACCCACAACAACACGACGUGUCACUGAAUAGUCAUUGUGUUAAACCACUAUGUCUGUGGAGUAGCAACAGAUAGCCAGAAUGGUUCCUGUCACUCAACACGGUCUUCCUCGUUUCUCGAUCAUCUAUGUAAUCUUCAGUUUACCUGAGUUACGGAAAAAGAGACAACUACAGGUAGGCCUUCAUUUAAACAUCCACUGCCCUUAAUCCCAUCCAUAAUGGCCUUUUAACUUUGGAUGGCCCUUCCCCCUCACUUGUGACCCCAACACAUAAAGCUGGUCUGCCCCCCACCCCGAGACACUCAGAACACAUCAAGGUCUCCUCCAAGGAAGUGUCCAAGUAGGAUGCUUCUGAUAAUACCUCAUGACUUGUGUAAGGUCUCUGAGGCUGUGCGGGGGCAGGCAGUUUCAUUCAAAGGGCAAGAGAUGGGUCUGUAAAGUCCAGUUCGGCUACUUUCCUUCUUUCUUUUUAUUUAAGUUUAUUUAUUUUGAUAGAGAGAAAGAGAGAGAAUCCCAAGCAAGCUCUGCACUGUCAGUGUGGAGCCUGAUGUAGGGCUCUGUCCCAUGAACUAUGAGAUCAUGACCUGAGCUGAAACCAAGAGUCUGAUGCUUAACGGACUGAGCCACCCAGGUGCCCCUCUGCUUCUUUCAAAUCAAGUUAUCUUGGGCAGGCUUUGGUUCUCCUUAAUCCUUAGCUGCAAGGAUUAAAUAAAUUAAUUCAUACAGAAACCCUAGCAUCAUGCCCUGCUGCUGUGCAAGUGCUCAGAAAUGUCUAUUGCAAUGAAACAAAAUGCCUUUUCAUUUA